CUGGAUACGCCACUGAACUACUGUUGCCUAUAUUUACCAUGGGUUGACUAUUUAUGUAUAGAAGGAAAAGUUGAAAUAGAUGGUAUACACGUUCAUGUUAGAUUUUUCAAGCUACAAAUUAUUACAUUUAUACGAUAUACGACAUGUAUCAUUGAAGUAGGUCGAAGAAGUUGUGUUGAACCAAACAUAUCAAUAAGGGAUCUACCAUAAGGGGGGAUGUUUGGAAAAAGGCAGGACAGGAGAUUUGAGUAAAAAAAGGCCGUAUGACAAUUUAUGUAAAAAAAAUCAGGAUGAAAAAAAGGAGGACCGAAUAGAGUAAAAAUAAAAACACAGGAUAGAGAGUUCAACAAAAAAAUGCAGGACAAAAUUAUUCAUCCUAGCCCCUCCCCCAAAAUAAAAAUCAAAUAGUAGCUCCCUUUAUUGACG
rnacentral:lncRNA from 1 species